ACAUCGCCUCUUGUCCAUUUAAAUAUAAGAGGUCCCGCCUGCCCCGUGACUAUAUGUUUAACGGCUGCGGUAUUUUGACCGUGCAAAGGUAGCGUAAUCACUUGUCUUUUAAAUGAAGACCUGUAUGAAUGGCACAACGAGGGCCUAACUGUCUCCUUUUUCCAGUCAAUGAAAUUGAUCUUCCCGUGCAGAAGCGGGAAUACUAACAUAAGACGAGAAGACCCUAUGGAGCUUUAGACACCAGAACAGCCCAUGCUAAACAUUCCCUAAACAGGGGAAAAAACCAAUUGGCCUCCUGCUCUAAUGUCUUUGGUUGGGGCGACCGCGGGGAAAUAAAAAACCCCCAUGUGGACUGGGAGCACAUUAUCCCCUACAACCCAGAGUCACACCUCCAAGCAACAGAAUUUCUGACCAACAAGACCCGGCACAUAGCCGAUCAACGGACCGAGUUACCCUAGGGAUAACAGCGCAAUCCUCUUUUAGAGCCCCUAUCGACAAGAGGGUUUACGACCUCGAUGUUGGAUCAGGACAUCCUAAUGGU
rnacentral:rRNA from 1 species